UAUUAAUAUGAUUAUAACCACAAAUAUUUAUAUAUUCUGAGGAAGUACAUGCAGGACAUAUUUUUGAAUUAGGAAUUCUUCGUUUAUGAUCAAUA